rnacentral:rRNA from 1 species
ACCUACGGGGGGCAGCAGUGGGGAAUAUUGGGCAAUGGGCGCAAGCCUGACCCAGCAACGCCGCGUGAAGGAAGAAGGCUUUCGGGUUGUAAACUUCUUUUCUCAGGGACGAGGCAAGUGACGGUACCUGAGGAAUAAGCCACGGCUAACUACGUGCCAGCAGCCGCGGUAAUACGUAGGUGGCAGGCGUUAUCCGGAUUUACUGGGUGUAAAGGGCGUGUAGGCGGGAAAGCAAGUCAGAUGUGAAAACCAUGGGCUCAACCUGUGGCCUGCAUUUGAAACUGUCAAACUAGAGUACGGGAGAG